rnacentral:vault_RNA from 1 species
GUGCUGGCUUUGUCGUGUGGGUACUUCGUACACAAUGGUUACAAUUUGCACUGCUCAUGCAAAGGACGCGGGUUCGAUUCCCGCACCCCUUUAGACCCACUGACGCCAUCCAGCACUUUU